CAUAUCCUGUCCUUUUUAUUUUCAUUUUGAGACAGGGUCUUGCUAAAUUGCUAAGAUUGGCCUCGAGCUUGCCAGUCUCCUGAGUCUCUGGGAUUACAAGUCUAUGAUCCAACACCCAGCAGCUCUCUUGGUUUAUGUGUGCUUAAAUAACUUAAGAGUCGCACAUGUGCUCAAAUUGUGGGCCUUGGGACCAGAGACUGGAGUCUUAAAGGAAUACAGAGGCUCUGAGUUCUUCUCGGUGUUCACAGCUUUGGUGGAUUCUGCAAAAAUCUGCUGUAUGAGGUCCUGUCACGCUCUGAGGUGUUGUAUUCUGACAAGAUUGGCAUGCUACCAAAAACUGAAUUUUAUAUUAAAGAGUUUAUUUAAUCUUCUUGAGAGCUGA
ensembl:lincRNA